rnacentral:rRNA from 1 species
GACGAACGCUGGCGGCAUGCCUUACACAUGCAAGUCGAACGGCAGCACGGGAGCAAUCCUGGUGGCGAGUGGCGAACGGGUGAGUAAUAUAUCGGAACGUGCCCAGUCGUGGGGGAUAACGUAGCGAAAGCUACGCUAACAACGCAUACGAUCUAUGGAUGAAAGCGGGGGAUCGCAAGACCUCGCGCGAUUGGAGCGGCCGAUAACAGAGUAGGUAGUUGGUGAGGUAAAGGCUGACCAAGCCGACGAUCUGUAGCUGGUCUGAGAGGACGACCAGCCACACUGGAGCUGAGGCGAAGUCCAGACUCCUACGGGAGGCAGCAGUGGUGAAUUUUGGACAAUGGGCGCAAGCCUGAUCCAGCAAUGCCGCGUGCAGGAUGAAGGCCUUCGUGUUGUAAACUGCUUUUGUACGGAACGAAACGGCCCUUUCUAAUACAGGGGGCUAAUGACGGUACCGUAAGAAUAAGCACCGGCUAACUACGUGCCAGCAGCCGCCGCCG